ACGGAAGGCAGCAGUGAGGAAUAUUGGUCAAUGGGCGGAAGCCUGAACUAGCCAAGUCGCGUGAAGGAUGAAGGUAUUAUGUAUUGUAAACUUCUUUAGCAGUGGAGUAAUAAGGAGCUCGUGAGCUCUGAUGCAAGUACACUGAGAAUAAGGAUCGGCUAACUCCGUGCCAGCAGCCGCGGUAAUACGGAGGAUCCGAGCGUUAUCCGGAUUUAUUGGGUUUAAAGGGUGCGCAGGCGGCUUUUUAAGUCAGCGGUAAAAUCGUGGGGCUCAACCCCAUCCUGCCGUUGAUACUGGAGAGCUUGAUUGCGGUCGAGGUUGGCGGAAUUCGUCGUGUAGCGGUGAAAUGCAUAGAUAUGACGAAGAACACCGAUUGCGUAGGCAGCUGACCAGGCCGUAAAUGACGCUCAUGCACGAAAGUGCGGGGAUCGAACAGGAUUAGAUACCCUGGUA
rnacentral:rRNA from 1 species